rnacentral:rRNA from 1 species
AUUAUUAGCGGAGGAAAAGAAACUUAACAAGGAUUCCCCCCAGUAACGGCGAGUGAAGCGGGAAUAGCUCAAAUUUGAAAUCUCCGACGCUUGCGUCGGCGAAUUGUAGUUACGAGAAGCACUUUCUCGGCGGAUCGGGCGUGCCUAAGUUGCUUGGAACAGUACGUCGCAGAGGGUGACAACCCCGUCUGUGGCACGGCCGGCCGCUCACGAUGUGCUUUCGAAGAGUCGGGUUGUUCGGGAAUGCAGCCCAAAACGGGUGGUAAACUCCAUCUAAAGCUAAAUAUUGACGUGAGACCGAUAGCGAACAAGUACCGUGAGGGAAAGAUGAAAAGAACUUUGAAAAGAGAGUUAAAAAGUACGUGAAACCGUUGAAAGGGAAACGAAUGGACUCAGCAAUGCGCCGUUUGAGAUUCAGCCGGCCGGUGAAAUCGGCCCGGGCUUUGCGGAUUCGAAUGGACCGCGGUCUCGGGCUCGGUCUUCCCGUCCGUCGCACUUCUCUUGGGCGCACGUCAACGUCGGUUGGGACUGGGUGUCAAAGGUUCCGGGAAGGUAGGUCCGCGCUCUCCUCGCGUUGGCGCGUACUGUUAUAGCCCGGUUCUCUUGCGGCUCGGGCCCGACCGAGGCGGUUUGCAGCGCAUGCCUCUUUUGGCUAGGGUCCCGUCCGUCCGGCCGGUUGUCGACCGCGGUGGACUGCUCGCAGUGCUCCGCGACUGCUGCCGGUCGAUCGGGCGGUGAUCUCGUACCAUGCGCUAAGGAUGUUGGCGGUCAUAUGGGUCCAUCCGACCCGUCUUGAAACACGGACCAAGGAGUCUAACAUGUGCGCGAGUCUUAGGGUGACCGGAAACCCAGAGGCGGAAUGAAAGUGAAGACGGCUCCGGCCGUUGAGGCGAGAUCCUCCUUCGCAAAAGGACGGGGGCGCAUCGUCGACCGACCUAUUCUACUCUUAGGAAGGUUUGAGUAAGAGCGUGUCUGUUGGGACCCGAAAGAUGGUGAACUAUGCCYGAAUAGGGUGAAGCCAGAAGGAAACUUCUGGUUGGAGGCUCGUAACG